rnacentral:misc_RNA from 1 species
GUACCCUCAAGCUCUGCUUGGUGUUGGGUGUUUGUCCUCUCCUCUGCGGUUGGACUCGCCUUAAAGCAAUUGGCAGCCAGUGUUUUUGGUAUUGAAGCGCAGCACAUUUUGCGCAUCUAGCCGAAAAUACUUGCGUCCAUAAGCCUUUUUAUAAC